GACGUAGGGUGCAAGCGUUGUCCGGAAUUAUUGGGCGUAAAGAGCUUGUAGGCGGUUUGUCGCGUCUGCUGUGAAAUUUCGGGGCUCAACCCCGAACUUGCAGUGGGUACGGGCAGACUAGAGUGUGGUAGGGGAGACUGGAAUUCCUGGUGUAGCGGUGAAAUGCGCAGAGAUCGGGAAGAACAUCAGUGGCGAAGGCGGCCUGCUGGGCUGUUGCUGACGCUGAGGCGCGACAGCGUGGGGAGCAAACAGG
rnacentral:rRNA from 1 species